rnacentral:tRNA from 1 species
GCCGGGGUAGCUCAGUCGGUAGAGCGAGCGCCUUGUAAGCGCGAGGUCGUGGGUUCGAGUCCCAUCCCCGGCU